rnacentral:rRNA from 1 species
CCAUGCGAGUCACCGUAGCAAUACGUGGCAUACGGCUCAGUAACACGUAGUCAACAUGCCCAGGGGACGUGGAUAACCUCGGGAAACUGAGGCUAAACCGCGAUAGGUCAAGAUUCCUGGAAUGGAUCAUGGCCCAAAUCUAUAUGGCCCCUGGAUUGGACUGCGGCCGAUCAGGCUGUUGGUGGGGUAAUGGCCCACCAAACCUGUAACCGGUACGGGCUCUGAGAGGAGGAGCCCGGAGAUGGGCACUUAGACAAGGGCCCAGGCCCUAUGGGGCGCAGCAGGCGCGAAACCUCUGCAAUAAGCGAAAGCUUGACAGGGUUACUCUGAGUGAUUUCCGCUAAGGAAGUCUUUUGGCACCUCCAAAAAUGGUGCAGAAUAAGGGGUGGGCAAGUCUGGUGUCAGCCGCCGCGGUAAUACCAG